GAAGGUCCAAAGUUUCCCUGCCAGGCCCAGGUACCAAAGCCUUAUGAUGUGGUGUCCAGAAUAAAGUGUAGGGUUCACUUCACUUGUCCUUCCUGCUCCAAUCUCAUUUUCUUUUCCUUAAUUUGACACAGUCUUAUUUUUCUUCUGACAGUCUUCUCUCCUCCUUUGCUCUUUCUGCUUCUUUUCCUUUCUGCUUAUUAUUUUGCACCCUUCUGCUCCUUUCUCUUUCUGAUCCCUUUCUGCUCCUUCUCCUACUUUUCCUUUGUGCCCCUUCUAAUUCUUUCUGCUCAUUUACCCUUUGUGCUCAUUCUGUCCCUUUCUGCUUCUUGCAGACCCUUCAUGCUAAUUUCUGCUCCUUUUCCUGCUUUACAUUUGUGCUCCUUCUGCCCCUUCCUGC